AAUGGGGGAAACCCUGACGCAGCAACGCCGCGUGAGUGAUGAAGGCCUUCGGGUUGUAAAGCUCUUUUAGUUGGGACGAAAAAAAUGACGGUACCAACAGAAAAAGCACCGGCUAACUCUGUGCCAGCAGCCGCGGUAAUACAGAGGGUGCAAGCGUUAUUCGGAUUUACUGGGCGUAAAGAGCGUGUAGGUGGCUCGAUAAGUCUGAUGUGAAAGCCCUGGGCUCAACCCAGGAAGUGCAUUGGAUACUGUCAAGCUAGAGGACAGGAGGGGAGAGCGGAAUUCCAGGUGUAGAGGUGAAAUUCGUAGAUAUCUGGAGGAACAACGGUGGCGAAGGCGGCUCUCUGGACUGUUUCUGACACUAAGGCGCGAAAGCGUGGGGAGCAAA
rnacentral:rRNA from 1 species